CAGAGAAUAGUUUAAUUUAAAAUGCCAGCUUUGGGAGUUGGAUAUGGAGGUUUAAGUCCUCUUUCUCUGA